rnacentral:rRNA from 1 species
ACGCUCGACACCUACGGGAGGCAGCAGUCGGGAAUAUUGCGCAAUGGAGGAAACUCUGACGCAGUGACGCCGCGUGCAGGAAGAAGGUUUUCGGAUUGUAAACUGCUUUAGACAGGGAAGAAGAAGUGACAGUACCUGUAGAAUAAGCUCCGGCUAACUACGUGUCAGCAGCCGCGGUAAUCUGAGCGGGCUGGCAAGGC